UACGUAGGGGGCAAGCGUUGUCCGGAAUUAUUGGGCGUAAAGCGCGCGCAGGCGGCCUUGUAAGUCUGUUGUUUAAACUUGGGGCUCAACCCCAAGUCGCAAGGGAAACUGCAAAGCUUGAGUACAGAAGAGGAAAGUGGAAUUCCACGUGUAGCGGUGAAAUGCGUAGAUAUCGGUAGGAACACCAGUGGCGAAGGCGGUCUCCUGGAGCAGACUUGACGCUGAGGCGCGAAAGCCAGGGGAGCGAACGGG
rnacentral:rRNA from 1 species